rnacentral:rRNA from 1 species
UACGUAGGGGGCAAGCGUUGUCCGGAUUUAUUGGGCGUAAAGGGCGCGUAGGCGGUUUCUUAAGUUUGGAGUGACAGUGAGUGGCUUAACUACCCAAGGCCUUUGAAAACUGGGGAACUUGAGGACCAGAGAGGGACAUAGAAUUCCGGGUGGAGUGGUGAAAUGCGUAGAUAUCCGGAGGAAUACCAAAGGCGAAGGCAGUGUCCUGGAGGGUAACUGACGCUGAGGCGCGAAAGCUAGGGGAGCGAACAGG